rnacentral:lncRNA from 1 species
UAAUUUAUUUUCAGUAAGAGUGCUGAGAGUAGUGACAAGCAGUUGUAAGAGAUUUUCUGCUAACAUGGAAGUAAGAGACUAUAAUUGAAAAGCCUGAUGAAAUGGUAGACCUCAUUUUUUUCAUAGAAUUAUUGAAUAGUAUCUUGAAACUCCAGUAGCAGGGUCAGAAAUCCUCAAGUGAAACCAAGAAAUUGCGGACAGAAUUCAGUGAGGUUCAAACGACAUAAUUAAUCUGGGUGCUUUGCAUGCUUUCCAGGGUCUUCUCACCUGGACAUUUCCAAUUACAGUUUCUCAUUAAUCCAACAAUGCAUUUGAUUUUAUUUAUAAUCACUUAGAAAUAUCCAAAGCAAAUUACGUGAACUCAUUAAAAUUGCAAAUUUUUGUUUGUUUAUUGAUAUAAGAGCUUGCUUUGUGGUAAAGAUUGGCCUGGAACUUAUUGUGCAUCCUAAGCUGGUAGAAAAUCAUGGUAUGUUGUCAGCCUACUGAGUGCUAAGAUUACAGGAAUGUAGCAUUCUUGCUCAGUUAAGAAUGAUUUUUAUUAUAACAAAGAAAGGCAGAAGAAGUAAAUGAGCAAGUCGGUGGUGUACAAUAAAUGAGAAACAGUACCAUGGAAUCUUGUGCCAUGUUUUAUGGUCUGACUUCUAGGUGUGUUUAUUCAGCAAAGUUGCAUAGGUCAUUAGACACAAUUUAUCAAUAUCAACUAUUUCUAGAAUGUGACAAUUGGUAGUGCUCACAGAGUAUCCACAUGUUCUGAAAUAUGUUGCAGCCUUCAUAUAAAAUGAUCAGAUGAGCAGAUAGUAUAGUAGUAACCAGGGAGGUAUAGCUCAAGGCCAAGAGGCCAAUGUCUUUCAAUUGAAGCUCACAAAUCCAUGUGACUCUUUUCACAUCUUCCUCCUUGUGCAGUUGACCGUUUCUGGAGGUGAACAUGGCAGAGAAUCAAGAAAAAA